rnacentral:misc_RNA from 1 species
GUGAAUCAUCAAAUCUUUGAACGCAAAUUGCACUCUUUGGUAUUCCGGAGAGCAUGCCUGUUUGAGGGUCAGUUUUAAUAUAAAUCGGUGUGGGUGCUGCCUUUCGUGGUGACUCACCGGAUUAGGGGCGUCUUACCUUUGGGUAAGUGACCUAAAAGUUUGCAUGAUCUUUUUCGAAUGUAUCUAAAUAACUAGACGUACG